UACGUAGGGGGCAAGCGUUGUCCGGAUUUAUUGGGCGUAAAGAGCGUGUAGGCGGUUAUGCAGGUCCGCUGUGAAAACUGGAGGCUUAACCUCCAGACGUCGGUGGAAACCGUAUGACUAGAGUCCGGAAGAGGAGAGUGGAAUUCCUGGUGUAGCGGUGAAAUGCGCAGAUAUCAGGAAGAACACCCGUGGCGAAGGCGGCUCGCUGGGACGGUACUGACGCUGAGACGCGAAAGCGUGGGGAGCAAACAGG
rnacentral:rRNA from 1 species